rnacentral:rRNA from 1 species
CCCUGAAUUAUACCUUUAAUUGUUGCUUCGGCGGGACUUCGCGCCCGCCGGGGACCCAAACCUUCUGAAUUUUUUAAUAAGUAUCUUCUGAGUGGUUAAAAAAAUGAAUCAAAACUUUCAACAACGGAUCUCUUGGUUCUGGCAUCGAUGAAGAACGCAGCGAAAUGCGAUAAGUAAUGUGAAUUGCAGAAUUCAGUGAAUCAUCGAAUCUUUGAACGCACAUUGCGCCCGUCAGUAUUCUGGCGGGCAUGCCUGUUCGAGCGUCAUUACGCCCCUCAAGUCCCCUGUGGACUUGGUGUUGGGGAUCGGCGAGGCUGGUUUUCCAGCACAGCCGUCCCUUAAAUUAAUUGGCGGUCUCGCCGUGGCCCUCCUCUGCGCAGUAGUAAAACACUCGCAACAGGAGCCCGGCGCGGUCCACUGCCGUAAAACCCCCCAACUUUUUAUAGUUGACCUCGAAUCAGGUAGGACUACCCGCUGAACUUAAGCAUAUCAAUAAGCGGAGGAAAAGA